rnacentral:rRNA from 1 species
UGCAGUCGAGCGGGCAUCUUCGGGUGUCAGCGGCGGACGGGUGAGUAACGCGUGGGAACGUGCCCUCUGGUUCGGAAUAACUCAGGGAAACUUGAGCUAAUACCGGAUACGCCCUUUUGGGGAAAGGCUUGCUGCCGGAGGAUCGGCCCGCGUCUGAUUAGCUAGUUGGUGAGGUAACGGCUCACCAAGGCGACGAUCAGUAGCUGGUCUGAGAGGAUGAUCAGCCACACUGGGACUGAGACACGGCCCAGACUCCUACGGGAGGCAGCAGUGGGGAAUAUUGGACAAUGGGCGCAAGCCUGAUCCAGCCAUGCCGCGUGAGUGAUGAAGGCCUUAGGGUUGUAAAGCUCUUUUAUCCGGGACGAUAAUGACGGUACCGGAGGAAUAAGCCCCGGCUAACUUCGUGCCAGCAGCCGCGGUAAUACGAAGGGGGCUAGCGUUGCUCGGAAUCACUGGGCGUAAAGGGCGCGUAGGCGGCGUUUUAAGUCGGGGGUGAAAGCCUGUGGCUCAACCACAGAAUGGCCUUCGAUACUGGGACGCUUGAGUAUGGUAGAGGUUGGUGGAACUGCGAGUGUAGAGGUGAAAUUC